UACGUAGGGUGCAGGCGUUAAUCGGAAUUACUGGGCGUAAAGCGUGCGCAGGCGGUUUGCUAAGAGAGAUGUGAAAUCCCCGGGCUUAACCUGGGAACUGCGUCCGAUACUGGGAGGCUUGGAUUCGGGAGAGGGAUGUGGAAUUCCUGGUGUAGCGGUGGAAUGCGCAGAUAUCAGGAGGAACACCGGUGGCGAAGGCGGGAUCCUGGGCCAGUACUGACGCUGAGGAGCGAAAGCGUGGGGAGCAAACAGG
rnacentral:rRNA from 1 species